GGGCGCGUAGCUCAGUGGUAGAGCACACCCUUCACACGGGUGGGGUCGCAGGUUCAAUCCCUGCCGCGCCCACCA
rnacentral:tRNA from 106 species